rnacentral:rRNA from 1 species
UACGAAGGGGGCUAGCGUUGUUCGGAUUUACUGGGCGUAAAGCGCACGUAGGCGGAUUGUCAAGUGAGGGGUGAAAUCCCAGGGCUCAACCCUGGAACUGCCUUUCAUACUGGCAAUCUUGAGUCCGGAAGAGGUGAGUGGAACUCCUAGUGUAGAGGUGGAAUUCGUAGAUAUUAGGAAGAACACCAGUGGCGAAGGCGGCUCACUGGUCCGGUACUGACGCUCAUGCACGAAAGCGUGGGGAGCAAACAGG